GUGAAUCAUCGAAUCUUUGAACGCAAAUUGCACUCUCUUCGGAGAGUAUGCCUGUUUGAGGGUCAGCCUAAAAAAAACCGAGGAAGUGGCGGUUUCGGGGGGAAAUUGGUGGGAAAUGGGGGAAUCUAAAACCUUGGGGUUUUUAAAGGGGCUAAAAAUUUUUUUUAGGAUUCAACGAACGUUGCA
rnacentral:misc_RNA from 1 species